UAGGGAAUCUUCCACAAUGGACGAAAGUCUGAUGGAGCAACGCCGCGUGAGUGAAGAAGGUUUUCGGAUCGUAAAGCUCUGUUGUUGGUGAAGAAGGAUAGAGGCAGUAACUGGUCUUUAUUUGACGGUAAUCAACCAGAAAGUCNCGGCUAACUACGUGCCAC
rnacentral:rRNA from 1 species